AGAAACUGUGUCAACGAUGCGACUCAUCAAUCUUCAAUCGUAUGAUGGAUCAUUCAGCUUGAACGAAGAAUUAUCACAGAUCUUGGGGAAAACGUUGCAGGAACUCAAAGCAGCAUGCGUCACACAUAAUUUGUCCGAACAAAAGUUUGCAACGGCAUUGGCAGUAGAUUUUUUCAGAAGUAAACUAGCCGAC